rnacentral:rRNA from 1 species
UACGUAGGGUGCAAGCGUUGUCCGGAAUUAUUGGGCGUAAAGAGCUUGUAGGCGGUUUGUCGCGUCUGCUGUGAAAUUUCGGGGCUCAACCCGGAACUUGCAGUGGGUACGGGCAGACUAGAGUGUGGUAGGGGAGACUGGAAUUCCUGGUGUAGCGGUGAAAUGCGCAGAUAUCAGGAGGAACACCGAUGGCGAAGGCGGGUCUCUGGGCCACUACUGACGCUGAGGAGCGAAAGCGUGGGGAGCGAACAGG